GNUUGCAUGGGGGACAAUCUGACCGCACUGCCGCGUGCGUGAAGAAAGGUCCUUCGGAUUGUAAACCUCUGUUUGUUUCGGGAAGAACAUCCUGCUGGGNCUAAUACGCUCCGUUGCCGUAUGACGGGUACCCUGGCAGAAAUAAGCCACCGGCUAACUACUGUGCCAGCAGCCCGCGGUAAUACAUUAGGGUGCAAGCGUUAAUCGGAAUUACUGGGCGUAAAGCGCGCGCCAGGCGGUUCUUUAAGUCAGAUGUGAAAUCCCCGGGCUUAACCUGGGAACUGCAUUUGAAACUGACCGGCUAGAGUGCGGAAGAGGGAAGUGGAAUUCCCCGUGUAGCAGUGAAAUGCGUAGAUAUGCGGAGGAACACCGAUGGCGAAGGCAGCUCCCUGGGCUUGCACUGACGCUGAUGCACGAAAGCGUGGGGAGCAAACAGGAUUAGAUACCCUGGUAGUCCACGCCCUAAACGAUGUCAACUGGUUGUUGGUCCUUUUCUGGAUCUAUAACCUAACUCAAGCGUGUAAUUUACCCCCUGGGGAGUACCGGCGCCAAGGUUAAACUCUAAA
rnacentral:rRNA from 1 species